rnacentral:rRNA from 1 species
AUGGCUUCUGCUGCGCUCCCGGAGGCGGCGGCGGCGGCGGCGGUCCAGCCCAAGAAGAAGGGCAACUUCAAGUACGCCUGCACCUGCGCCCUCUCCGCUUCCAUGGCCACCGUCGUCCUCGGCUACGACGUCGGGGUGAUGAGCGGCGCGUCGCUCUACAUCAAGGAGGACCUGCGCCUCACGGACGUGCAGGUGGAGAUCAUGAUGGGCAUCCUCAGCGUCUACGCGCUCCUCGGCUCCUUCGCCGGCGCCAGGACCUCCGACUGGAUCGGCCGCCGCUACACCGUCAUCAUCGCCGCCGCCAUCUUCUUCGUCGGCUCCCUGCUCAUGGGCUUCGCCGUCGACUACCUCAUGUUCAUGCUCGGCCGCUUCGUCUGCGGCAUGGGCGUCGGCUUCGCCAUCAUGGUCGCGCCCGUCUACACCGCCGAGGUCGCCCCGGCAUCCACCCGCGGCCUCCUCACCUCUUUCACCGAGGUCUUCAUCAACGUCGGCAUCCUCCUCGGCUACGUCUCCAACUACGCCUUCGCGCGCCUCCCGCACCACAUCAACUGGCGCAUCAUGCUCGGCGUGGGCGCCGUCCCCUCGGCCUUGCUCGCGCUCAUGGUGCUCGGCAUGCCGGAGUCGCCCCGCUGGCUCGUCAUGAAAGGCCGCCUCGCCGACGCCAGGGUCGUGCUGGAGAAGACCUCCGACACGCCAGAGGAAGCCGUCGAGCGCCUUGACCAAAUCAAGGCUGCCGCCGGCAUCCCCCACGACCUCGACGGCGACGUGGUCGCCGUGCCCAAGAGAAAAGGCGGCAACGAGAAGCAGGUGUGGAAGGAGCUCAUCUUUUCGCCCACCCCGGUCAUGCGCCGCAUACUGCUCGCCGCGCUCGGCGUCCAUUUCUUCCAGCAGGCCACCGGCUCCGACUCGGUCGUGCUCUACAGCCCACGCGUGUUCAAGAGCGCCGGCAUCACCGGCGACAACCACCUGCUCGGCGUCACGUGCGCCAUGGGGGUCACCAAGACCCUCUUCAUCCUCUUGGCCACCUUCCAGAUCGACCGUGUCGGCCGGCGGCCGCUGCUGCUCACCAGCACCGCCGGCAUGCUCGUCUGUCUCAUCGGCCUCGGCACGGGCCUCACCGUCGUGGGCCAGCACCCGGACGAGAAGAUCACGUGGGCGAUCGGCCUCUGCAUCGCCUCCACCUUGGCCUACGUCUCCUUCUUCUCCAUGGGCCUCGGCCCCAUCACCAGCGUCUACGUCUCCGAGGUCUUCCCGCUCCGGGUGCGCGCGCUCGGCUUCGCCCUCGGCGUCGCCUGCAACCGCGUCACCAGCGCCGCCAUCUCCAUGACCUUCCUCUCCCUGUCCAAGGCCAUCACCAUCGGCGGCAGCUUCUUCCUCUACGCCGGCCUCGCCGCGCUCGGCUGGCUCUUCUUCUACGCCUUCGUUCCCGAGACGCGCGGGCAGCCGCUCGAGGACAUAGGCAAGCUUUUCGGCAUGAAGGACGCCGCCGUCGAAGACGACGACCACCACCACACUGCAGCCACCAAAGACAAGCAGGUGAAAGCAGCUGCUGUGGAGAUGAAUUAA